GACCAGUGAGAGUAUUGAAGCAACGUCGCUGAAGUGCGUUACUUGAGCUGAAUCAUGCUUACAAGCCUAACGAGUCUGACACUGUUUGAGUUUGCAUCGCAAGUAAGAGCGUUUGGAAAAUCGCGAAUUUGUCCACAAGGAAGAAGGAAAAAGUGUCGAGGAAAAGUCUGAUUUCCAGCGGACCUGCACAGUGAAUGUCAACAACAGCAGCCUUUUUCAAACAGAUGUCGCAUGCGCCGCCAGAGACUUGAGUAGGCCUACGACAGAGCCCAGAGCUCCAUUUGCAGGGCGAGUGUUCUGCCAACCCCAGCUACAUGUCAAUGGUCUAAGCUCUCAAGAGAUGGCUACAUCUGUCCAGCCAACGAGCAACGAGGAAGAACUGAC